GUGUGUGGUGCCCUUCUCCAGAGACUUUUAAUCACACGUGAUAAAAUAUGAUUAAAGUCUCUGGGAGAGGGUAACGCACGA
rnacentral:pre_miRNA from 1 species